rnacentral:rRNA from 1 species
AGUGAACGCUGGCGGUAGGCCUAACACAUGCAAGUCGAACGGCAGCACAGUAAGAGCUUGCUCUUACGGGUGGCGAGUGGCGGACGGGUGAGGAAUACAUCGUAAUCUACUUUUUCGUGGGGGAUAACGUAGGUAAACUUACGCUAAUACCGCAUACGACCUACGGUUGAAAGCAGGGGAUCUUCUGACCUUGCGCGAUUGAAUGAGCCGAUGUCGGAUUAGCUAGUUGGCGGGGUAAAGGCCCACCAAGGCGACGAUCCGUAGCUGGUCUGAGAGGAUGGUCAGCCACACUGGAACUGGGACACGGUCCAGACUCCUAAGGGAGGGCGCAGUGGGGAAUAUUGGGCAAUGGGGGGGAACCUGAUCCAGCCAUACCGAGUGGGUGGAGAAGGCCUUCGGGUUGUAAAGACCUUUUGUUGGGAAAGAAAAGCAGCAGGUUAAUACCCCGCUGUUCUGACGGUAACCAAAGAAUAAGCACCGGCUAACUUCGUG